CCCUUCGGGGUGUGACUGCGUACCUUUUGUAUAAUGGGUCAGCGACUUAUAUUCUGUAGCAAGGUUAACCGUAUAGGGGAGCCGGAGGGAAACCGAGUCUUAACCGGGCGUUAAGUUGCAGGGUAUAGACCCGAAACCCGGUGAUCUAGCCAUGGGCAGGUUGAAGGUUGGGUAACACUAACUGGAGGACCGAACCGACUAAUGUUGAAAAAUUAGCGGAUGACCUGUGGCUGGGGGUGAAAGGCCAAUCAAACCGGGAGAUAGCUGGUUCUCCCCGAAAGCUAUUUAGGUAGCGCCUCGUGAAUUCAUCUCCGGGGGUAGAGCACUGUUUCGGCUAGGGGGCCAUCCCGGCUUACCAACCCGAUGCAAACUGCGAAUACCGGAGAAUGUUAUCACGGGAGACACACGGCGGGUGCUAACGUCCGUCGUGAAGAGGGAAACAACCCAGACCGCCAGCUAAGGUCCCAAAGUCAUGGUUAAGUGGGAAACGAUGUGGGAAGGCCCAGACAGCCAGGAUGUUGGCUUAGAAGCAGCCAUCAUUUAAAGAAAGCGUAAUAGCUCACUGGUCGAGUCGGCCUGCGCGGAAGAUGUAACGGGGCUAAACCAUGCACCGAAGCUGCGGCAGCGAACGUAUCACCCAAGACAACUUUACGGAGUUGACGAUUGACGGAGCGAAGCGACGUCAAAGCGUUCAUUAAAGUCGAGUUGGCUUAGGGAUACGUUCGUUGGGUAGGGGAGCGUUCUGUAAGCCUGUGAAGGUGUGUCGUGAGGCAUGCUGGAGGUAUCAGAAGUGCGAAUGCUGACAUAAGUAACGAUAAAGCGGGUGAAAAGCCCGCUCGCCGGAAGACCAAGGGUUCCUGUCCAACGUUAAUCGGGGCAGGGUGAGUCGACCCCUAAGGCGAGGCCGAAAGGCGUAGUCGAUGGGAAACGGGUUAAUAUUCCCGUACUUGGUGUUACUGCGAAGGGGGGACGGAGAAGGCUAUGUUGGCCGGGCGACGGUUGUCCCGGUUUAAGCGUGUAGGUGUGUGUUCCAGGUAAAUCCGGUUCACUUUAACACUGAGGCGUGACGACGAGGCACUACGGUGCUGAAGCAACAAAUGCCCUG
rnacentral:rRNA from 1 species